rnacentral:rRNA from 1 species
UGGGGAAUUUUGGACAAUGGGCGCAAGCCUGAUCCAGCCAUGCCGCGUGCGGGAAGAAGGCCUCCGGGUUGUAAACCGCUUUUGUCAGGGAAGAAAUCUUCUGAGUUAAUACCUCGGGAGGAUGACGGUACCUGAAGAAUAAGCACCGGCUAACUACGUGCCAGCAGCCGCGGUAAUACGUAGGGUGCAAGCGUUAAUCGGAAUACUGGGCGUAAAGCGUGCGCAGGCGGUUUUGUAAGACAGAGGUGAAAUCCCCGGGCUCAACCUGGGAACUGCCUUUGUGACUGCAAGGCUUGAGUGCGGCAGAGGGGGAUGGAAUUCCGCGUGUAGCAGUGAAAUGCGUAGAUAUGCGGAGGAACACCGAUGGCGAAGGCAAUCCCCUGGGCCUGCACUGACGCUCAUGCACGAAAGCGUGGGGAGCAAAACAGGAUUAGAUACCCUGGUAGUCCACGCCCUAAACGAUGUCAACUGGUUGUUGGGAAGGUUCCUUCUCAGUAACGUAGCUAACGCGUGAAGUUGACCGCCUGGGGAGUACGGCCGCAAGGUU